GAUGAACGCUAGCGGCAGGCUUAACACAUGCAAGUCGAGCGGGGUUUUCGGACCUAGCGGCGGACGGGUGAGUAAUGCGUAGGAAGCUACCCGAUAGAGGGGGAUACCAGUUGGAAACGACUGUUAAUACCGCAUAAUGUCUACGGACCAAAGUGUGGGACCUUCGGGCCACAUGCUAUCGGAUGUGCCUACGUGGGGUUAGCUAGUUGGUGAGGUAAUGGCUCACCAAGGCGACGAUCCCUAGCUGGUUUGAGAGGAUGAUCAGCCACACUGGAACUGAGACACGGUCCAGACUCCUACGGGAGGCAGCAGUGGGGAAUAUUGGACAAUGGGCGCAAGCCUGAUCCAGCCAUGCCGCGUGUGUGAAGAAGGCCUUCGGGUUGUAAAGCACUUUCAGUAAGGAGGAAGCGUUGAGUGUUAAUAGUACUCAGCGUUGACGUUACUUAUAGAAGAAGCACCGGCUAACUCUGUGCCAGCCGCCGCCGUAAUAC
rnacentral:rRNA from 1 species